rnacentral:rRNA from 1 species
GACGAACGCUGGCGGCGUGCUUAACACAUGCAAGUCGAGCGGUAAGGCCUUUCGGGGUACACGAGCGGCGAACGGGUGAGUAACACGUGGGUGAUCCGCCCUGCACUUCGGGAUAAGCCUGGGAAACUGGGUCUAAUACCGGAUAUGACCUCCUAUCGCAUGGUGGGUGGUGGAAAGAUUUAUCGGUGCAGGAUGGGCCCGCGGCCUAUCAGCUUGUUGGUGGGGUAAUGGCCUACCAAGGCGACGACGGGUAGCCGACCUGAGAGGGUGACCGGCCACACUGGGACUGAGACACGGCCCAGACUCCUACGGGAGGCAGCAGUGGGGAAUAUUGCACAAUGGGCGAAAGCCUGAUGCAGCGACGCCGCGUGAGGGAUGACGGCCUUCGGGUUGUAAACCUCUUUCAGCAGGGACGAAGCGCAAGUGACGGUACCUGCAGAAGAAGCACCGGCUAACUACGUG